rnacentral:rRNA from 1 species
CCUACGGGGAGCAGCAGUGAGGAAUAUUGGUCAAUGGGCGUAAGCCUGAACCAGCCAAGUCGCGUGAGGGAUGAAGGUUCUAUGGAUCGUAAACCUCUUUUAUAAGGGAAUAAAGUGCGGGACGUGUCCCGUUUUGUAUGUACCUUAUGAAUAAGGAUCGGCUAACUCCGUGCCAGCAGCCGCGGUAAUACGGAGGAUCCGAGCGUUAUCCGGAUUUAUUGGGUUUAAAGGGUGCGUAGGCGGCCUUUUAAGUCAGCGGUGAAAGUCUGUGGCUCAACCAUAGAAUUGCCGUUGAAACUGGGAGUCUUGAGUAUGUUUGAGGCAGGCGGAAUGCGUGGUGUAGCGGGGAAAUGCUUAGAUAUCACGCAGAACCCCGAUUGCGAAGGCAGCCUGCCAAGCCAUGACUGACGCUGAUGCACGAAAGCGUGGGGAUCAAACAGGAUUAGAUACCCUAGUAGUC